rnacentral:rRNA from 1 species
UACGUAGGCAGCGAGCGUUUGUUCGGAGUUACUGGGCGUAAAGGGUGUGUAGGCGGUUGUUUUAAGUUUGGUGUGAAAUCUCCCGGCUCAACUGGGAGGGUGCGCCGAAUACUGAAUGACUUGGAGUGCGGGAGAGGAGAGUGGAAUUCCUGGUGUAGCGGUGAAAUGCGUAGAUAUCAGGAGGAACACCGGUGGUGUAGACGGCUCUCUGGACCGUAACUGACGCUGAGACACGAAAAGCGUGGGUAGCAAACAGG